rnacentral:lncRNA from 1 species
ACCAUCACCGCCCCGUCCACCGAGUUUACCAUCGCCGCCUCCACCUUUUCCAACACCUGUGUCAUUCCCCCUACCUAUCGGUAAGUCAUCCAAGCACAUCAUCAGUGGUGCACCCGUCCUGCCUGGGACAAGUUGUGUUGGCUUCCUCGAAGCCGGGAAAAGGGCGGGGUCCCCCUACAUACCUUCAUACAGGCCAGUCCCCCUGCAUUCGUCCGUACAUACAGGCCAGUCCUCCUGCAUCUAUGUGUACAGGCCGGUUCGUUACUAAUAAGCACAUGCACGAGUUGCUUAGUAGUUUAAACAACCAAGCAACCCAUCCAGCUAUGCCUGUACGUAGCGGAUCACCCAGAAAUUGGCUGGGUGGUCUGCUACAUACAGGUGAGAUGCCAUAUAACUUAGAGUAUAUGUUCGUUGUUCGUUGGUUACAAAGGGCCUGAUGAGCCUCGAUCAGCAGCCUCUUAACCAUAUUCAUAAUUAGCCUGCCAAAGUACUAAUGUACAAGCGAUUGUGAGUCGAGCACAUACGAUUGGAUGUCUCUAUGUACAAUAUAUUGUAACGGCAGGACAGGCUUUGGCCAGGCAUCGUCAGCAUCACUGGUCAGUCCCAGUUCGUUAGACGGAUGGUUGAACUGAUACACCGAUACACUGUCACUGCACCUCCGAACUAACGCAGGUGGAUCACGCGGGUUAAACUGAGAUCUAGUAAUCUCUCGCAUUAAUCGAAUCAGUGGGGAUUACAAGCAGCUCAGACUGGAUUGGGUGUGAUGUCGCUUGAGGGUGAGGGCGCGAGGUUAGACGUGUGUAACAGCCGGCUGGGUUUCUCAGACAUAGAAUGGCUGUACACCUGUAUGUUGUGGAGCAAUGGUUUGACAAGGUCUGCUUGGGACGACGUGAUGACUCAGGUUUGUUAGACCACAGCGGAGUGCUACACGACUGCGGGGAACUCUCCCAGCCAACCAAUAGUAGUCGAACCCCCUACCUGCACUCUUAACAUGGCCAUCGAAUCCACACUGGCACUUUGUCCGGGCAGGAUCCUAUGCCGCGUCCCCAAUAUUCCCGCUGCCAAGCGGGCACCGCCGCCUCUCCUUGCAGUGAUACCACCCAGGGUCACCACAGUAGAGCAGAGUAGCACAUUCUGACAACCACGGAUACGCACUGUGAAAUAUAUUUCAGCAGGCCUUGUUUGCUUACAUCUCUCAACAUUAAAUCAAAUCAGUACGUACACUGACCUCACCAGGGCUUUGUUUCCUGUGGUGGUCUGUCUCGCAUGCAUGUUCUGCACAUGCCAUGCACUGCAGGCGCCAUUUUCCACCCAGCCACAGGACGCGUUAUCACACGGGCCAGCCCCAACAGUGUCGACCUCGUCGCCCAGGAGGCCUCGCGGAUCGACCCCUCGUCCAUAUCGCUGUGGGACAUUGAGGUGCUGAACAAGCAGGAGGCCCUGCAUGCUGUGCACCUAGUCGGGGCCGCGAUUUAUUGCUGGAACGUGUAUUGGAACUUGAUGACCAGUGGAGCGAAAGUAAGUGCUGGUUCGACUUCGAUGGAUUGGUUGUCACAGUCACGUAAAAACGAAUGAUUGUGUGAAGUCAGAUAAGUCAGAUCAUCUAUGCUAACCGCGCCCCGAUGCUUGGCUACCCAGCCGCGAUGGAAAGUCCGCCCAAGCAAGGAUUCUGUUCUCCCAAGGAACCGGGUGAGAGGGGUCACAAUCCCCUCGACGUACACAGAGCCACGUGCAUUCGUUGCACUUCUAAUAUACGGCGAAGCAGACGCACGUACAGCAGUCAAUCCCAAAUAAAUGACCAAGGAGGCUAUCUACAGCCUGCAGCCGCGGUUUACAGCUGCUCCCUGGACCCGUACAUGCGUGGAUGGUCCGCUUAAACGAUAGUGGUUGUCAAACAUGCACCUCAUUGUCUAUUUAGUCCUUGGCACAGCCGAUGCUUGCUGUGUUGUAUGUAAUCACGAAUUUGCUUGUAUAUGUACAUGCAGAUCAUCUUGUAUGUCUGCUUGAACGGUCCGACGGGCCGAGAGGGCAACGUGUUCCUUAACAGCCAGUGGCGCAUCAUUCAGAGCUGUAGCCCGGAUCAAGUGUACCUGGUUUCUCGGAGUAGCGGCAAGUGCCUGGGUGUGGACGUAGGUGAGCGGUGGAUGGGGUAGACCCCCGGCGGAGUAGUGGGAUGAGGGAAGUGAGGGAAGCGACAUCAGCAGCCACAUUUGGAUGAUGAUGUGUAGCACCUGUCUCAGUGGAAUAAUCGUGGACAUACACUUUGUCCUACGUAGCUCACUGCAGACGUAUAUGAACACCGCCGUACUUACAUACAUACACACGCAGGUGCAGCAGUAGGCUCCUCAGCUGCCGCACUUCCUCUCCAGCAGUGGGAUUGCGACUGGAGUGCCAACCAGCGCUUCGUUAUCUCAAGUGCACCAGGCAAUGCCACGUACGUCACAUCAGCGCCUACCCAGUUCAAUUGCGGUGCGUGAUGGUCAUUUGUUACUAGUCGAAUGGUGAAUUGCUAGCGGGUAUGCAUUGAUGAUUAUCUUUAUUUGUGAGAAAUGUACAUGUAUGUACGUAUGUACCUCCUAACUUGACAAUCAACAUCUUUUGUCAGCAGCACGCAGGUCUCUGGGUAGUAGUAGUGCGACAUAGACAAGACUCGGAAACGUUGCAGAACUCCAGGGCUAGCCUCGCCGGGAAGAACCCCCCCAUCCCAUUCAUAAGUCCCAUGAAUACACCUGCCUCUGUUGGCUGCAACACAGUUUGGAAAGGUUUGCACCUGCGUUCUGAUAGCAGGCACAUGGUCACUGCAUGGGCAUCACACGGGUGUCACACUUAUUAGCUAGGCGGGACACAUGCGGCACACAGGCAUGCAUGCACAUAUGUAGGUGUGCACACAUACCCAAGCGCCUCUCGAGAUCCUGACUGUAACACCUGACUAUCAGUGUAUGUGUGGAAGGACCGUCAGAGUGUCAGUUGGAUACAGGGUAGUCCAAUAAUGUAGAGAUGGAUCCUCAACCGCUUGGCGUCUGGUAAUAACACCUGCCCUACCCAUGGCCCCCUUAAUCCCUAACGUCCACCCUGCCUGUCUAUUUGCUCACCCUCCGGCAGUACCGCCAUCUUCACCAUCGCCGCCCCGUCCACCGAGUUUACCAUCGCCGCCUCCACCACCAACCUUCUGCCAGCAGAUCCCGGGCUAUACCUCUACGCCAGACAGUGACCAUGGUGGAGACGAUCUUGGCUAUUAUGGCAAGAAUGCACCUGCUGCCUGCAACAGCAACCCUAACUGUGUAGCCUUCAACUCGUACGGCUUGAUCAAGUCGGGCUCCACUCCGCUGAGGUCAUCCGCGGGGUCCUGCUUUUAUGUCAAAGUACCUCGUGAGUGGUAUUUAUUUGUCCUUCCCCCAUUAUCUAGUGAUGCGCGUGUGUGUGAUAUCCUUUCUUAUCAGAAAAGGACUCGCAAGCUGAUGGCACAGGCCAGCACCAGCCAGGAUAAAUACCCAGGAUAUUACAGUGUGGCACACGAUUAUUCCCUGCAUUACUGGCAGAUCAAACUUAGAUUCACUGCAGGCUGGCUAUCUUAGGGGGUGUUUCCACUUUAUUAAAAGUCGCGGAUAAGGUUUAAUCCGUCGCAUAUGAAAACAUCGCGCGGAUUAGGACGGAUUAGGCGGAUUAAGGAUGGCGCGAUUAGUUAGGUUGGCGAGAUCUACGCCCGCAUUCGCGCGUUUCGCAUAUUAAAUAUAGAUUAGUAUGUUAUCAAUUGCGCACAUUAUUCCUAUAGUAAAAGCUAAAACUCGGUGGAAAAUGUUUGCUGCCUGGCGGCCACCAAGUAUCAGAUUAACAUGUUUACAACAGCUCAUUAAAUAAAAAACCUGAUUGACAGCUUGGAAGGGUAUCCUUUAUAAAAGCUGUAGGUGUACCUAGUUUUGUGGAAGCUUUGCGCUUCUUGUUCGGCAUUAUGCACCACACCGUAGCUGUCGUUCAAAGGGUGCUGCAAGGCCUUUAUAUUGAUGCUCGAUAGUCUUUUUAAUGUCCAGCACUACUCGUUCUUGCAUUUUAUGCACGGAAUGGCAUAUGUUGUACUUCAAUUCGUUCCUUAGUCCAGACGUAUAAAACAUUCCUCGUAGAUUACCUGCGGAUUGGCGCGGAUUAAAAAUACCUUCAUCUGUGACUUUUAAUCCAAGAGGAAACACCCACUAUAUCUCUUGUGAAAAUCUGGUAAAAUUUAUGAUAUUGUUUAAAUUAAAUGGCAUGAGCAUGCCGCGUCCCCAAUAUUCCCGCUGCCAAGCUGGCACCGCCGCCUCUCCUUGCAGUGAUACCACCCAGGGUCACCACAGUAGUGCGGAGUAGCACAUUCUGACGACCACGGAUACGCACUGUGAAAUAUAUUUCAGCAGGCCUUGUUUGCUUACAUCUCUUAAUUAUGUUUGGAAAUGUUUGCACCUGCGUUCUAAUAGCAGGCACAUGGUCACUGCAUGGGCAUCACACGGGUGUCACACUUAUUAGCUAGGCGGGACACAUGCGGCACACAGGCAUGCAUGCGCAUAUGUAGGUGUGCACACAUACCCAAGCGCCUCUGUGAGAUCCUGACUGUAACACCUGACUAUCAGUGAAUGUGUGGAAGGACCGUCAGAGUGUCAGUUGGAUACAGGGUAGUCCAAUAAUGUAGAGAUGGAUCCUCAACCGCUUGGUGUCUGGCAAUAACACCUGCCCUACCCGUGCCCCCCUUAAUCCCUAACACCCACCCUGCCUGUCUGUUUGCUCGCCCUCCGGCAGUACCGCCAUCUUCACCAUCGCCCCCCCGUCCACCGAGUUUACCAUCGCCGCCUCCACCACCAUCGCCGCCUCCAUUACCAUCGCCGCCUCCACCACCACCGCCGCCUACACCACCAUCGCCGCCUCCACCACCACCGCCGCCUACACCACCAUCGCCGCCUCCACCACCACCGCCGCCUACACCACCAUCGCCGCCUCCACCACCACCGCCGCCUACACCACCAUCGCCGCCUCCACCACCACCACCACCCCUUCCAGCAGUCUGCAGGGAGUACCUGGGGUUCACC